rnacentral:miRNA from 1 species
ACUCGAGCUGCCCGUGCAAAAC